UUUACCCAGUAUCUGUUUCCUAUGAGCACAGCUCUUUCAGGCAACAUCAUAGUAUCUUCCAGGCAUUUUUUUCCACACGAAGACUAAAACGUUACAAUCACUAUACAUUUCGACACAGAAGUAUCGAGCUCUAUAGCUUGCUGUUUAUUCAGUGAUUGACCAUACAGAUCAGAAUAGUGAGGUUUACUGUAUUUUUUCUCCAGUCGGGCUGAUUGGAGUCUUUCGCUUUCGAACGUGGUGACGCAAUUUCCGGGCGAACGGAGUGCAUGAAGACGCUCCGGAAGAGGAUAAAUAUUCUGGUUUUAAAAUCGGUACAGUUUGGGACUACAUGGACUAGUGCUGGUUGCUUACUUUCAACAACCGUUGGAGGAGAAGGAGGAGGAAGAAGAAGAAGAAAAAGAAAAAAUAAUAAUAUACGAAAAGUACGAACUAACGGUGUCUGGAUUGUUUAGCAAAAAUACCGCAGUGAACAGAGGUUUGGCUCACAGGUUCUUGAUCAUCUGUAGGCGUCGUUACUUUCCCUUCCUGCGCUGGCUCCUUUGUUCGGACACGUGGGCUGCCAGCUCUCCCAAUCCUGCCCAAUGGGAAUGGCUGGCUGAGAGUCCAUGGAGCCUUCAUCCCCACCUUGUGCCUCACUAGGCCCAUAUGACUGAUCCUUGAAUUCAUUCAGUAUUUAGUUUGUUGAUCAAAUCUCUUUUGUGCUGUGACCUUCUGUGGUUUCGUCGAAUAAAGUCAUUUGCCUGGA